AGCAGUACUUUAAAGCAAAACAAAGAAGCAGAGUUAGCACUGAAUAUCUACUCCAAAGGGCACAUUCUGCAACAAGACCCUAAGACAGCUUCUGAGACAGCAGGAAUUAUUGCAUGUCUACAAAAAUUAGGAAUCUACAUAUAAAGUUUAUGAAGGGAUUCAGUAGAGAAUCACAAGCAAUGUACUUUGUUAUAUUUACUUGUCUUGUAUGUCAGUUGCAGAAUGUGAUUAAAAUUGAAGUGCAUCUCUUACUGAAGUUUUCAAAUGACACACAGCUUAGGCACCUGAAGAUGCAGAGGUCAGCAAAACUACCCCAACAAGAAGCACUUACUGCAUUCAGAACUCAAGUCAGUGCUUGUGUUUGGGUAAUUUUGAUGACAAAUGUAUGCAUUUAGCUAGUCAUGUAAAAAUGGUGUAAAUUUACCGUGAUAUGUCUGUUGAAAAACUCACAACCAAGACAACCCCAAAGAGAAGCACUUAUGAACACAAGAACCACCAGUGUCUCCAUUUGAGGUGAUCUGAGAUUGACUCCCACAAAAUAUGGCAUCCAAUACAUUCUGUUGUUUUUGUCAAUUAAAACUGCCCCAACAAGUAGCACUUACUGAAUUCAACAGUCAAGUCAAUGCUCAUGUUAAGGUAAUACUAUUGACUUGCAAAAAUGGUCAAAAAAGUAUUCUUCACCAAGUAACAAAUGAUCUAGUCCUGGUGAAAUCUUUAAAGGGAACCUGGGUCAGCAAAACUACCCCAACAAGAAGCACUUACUGCAUUCAGAACUCAAGUCAGUGCUUGUGUUUGGGUAAUUUUGAUGACAAAUGUAUGCAUUUAGCUAGUCAUGUAAAAAUGGUGUAAAUUUACCGUGAUAUGUCUGUUGAAAAACUCACAACCAAGACAACCCCAAAGAGAAGCACUUAUGAACACAAGAACCACCAGUGUCUCCAUUUGAGGUGAUCUGAGAUUGACUCCCACAAAAUAUGGCAUCCAAUACAUUCUGUUGUUUUUGUCAAUUAAAACUGCCCCAACAAGUAGCACUUACUGAAUUCAACAGUCAAGUCAAUGCUCAUGUUAAGGUACUACUAUUGACUUGGAAAAAUGGUCAAAAAAGUAUUCUUCACCAAGUAACAAAUAAUCUAGUCCUGGUGAAAUCUUUAAAGGGAACCUGGGUCAGCAAAACUACCCCAACAAGAAGCACUUACUGCAUUCAGAACUCAAGUCAGUGCUUGUGUUUGGGUAAUAUUGAUGACAAAUGUAUGCAUUUAGCAAGUCAUGAAAAAAUGAUGUGAUAUGUCUGUUGAAAAACUCACAACCAAGACAACCCCAAAGAGAAGCACUUAUGAACACAAGAACCACCAGUGUCUCCAUUUGAGGUGAUCUGAGAUUGACUCCCACAAAAUAUGGCAUCCAAUACAUUCUGUUGUUUUUGUCAAUUAAAACUGCCCCAACAAGUAGCACUUACUGAAUUCAACAGUCAAGUCAAUGCUCAUGUUAAGGUACUACUAUUGACUUGCAAAAAUGGUCAAAAAAGUAUUCUUCACCAAGUAACAAAUGAUCUAGUCCUGGUGAAAUCUUUAAAGGGAACCUGGGUCAGCAAAACUACCCCAACAAGAAGCACUUACUGCAUUCAGAACUCAAGUCAGUGCUUGUGUUUGGGUAAUAUUGAUGACAAAUGUAUGCAUUUAGCUAGUCAUGUAAAAAUGGUGUAAAUUUACCGUGAUAUGUCUGUUGAAAAACUCACAACCAAGACAACCCCAAAGAGAAGCACUUAUGAACACAAGAACCACCAGUGUCUCCAUUUGAGGUGAUCUGAAUGUGAUUCCAAUGACAUCCCUCUUCAGUUACAGUCUGUGGCAUUUGUCAUGUACAACCGCCCCAAC